GAUGAACGCUGGCGGCGUGCUUAACACAUGCAAGUCGAACGAUGAAGCCCAGCUUGCUGGGUGGUUUAGUGGCGAACGGGUGAGUAACACGUGAGUAACCUGCCCUUAACUCUGGGAUAAGCCUGGACAACUGGGUCUAAUACCGGAUAGGGGAGUCCACCGAAUGGUGGGUGUUGGAAAGCUUUAUCGGUUUUGGAUGGACUCGCGGCCUAUCCGCUUGUUGGUGAGGUAAUGGCUAACCAAGGCGACGACGGGUAGCCGGCCUGAGAGGGUGACCGGCCACACUGGGACUGAGACACGGCCCAGACUCCUACGGGAGGCAGCAGUGGGGAAUAUUGCACAAUGGGCGCAAGCCUGAUGCAGCGACGCCGCGUGAGGGAUGACGGCCUUCGGGUUGUAAACCUCUUUCAGUAGGGAAGAAGCGAAAGUGACGGUACCUGCAGAAGAAGCACCGGCUAACUACGUG
rnacentral:rRNA from 1 species